rnacentral:rRNA from 1 species
GAUGAACGCUGGCGGCGUGCUUAACACAUGCAAGUCGAACGGAAAGGCCCUGCUUUUGUGGGGUGCUCGAGUGGCGAACGGGUGAGUAACACGUGAGUAACCUGCCCUUGACUUUGGGAUAACUUCAGGAAACUGGGGCUAAUACCGGAUAGGAGCUCCUGCUGCAUGGUGGGGGUUGGAAAGUUUCGGCGGUUGGGGAUGGACCCGCGGCUUAUCAGCUUGUUUGUGGGGUAGUGGCUUACCAAGGCUUUGACGGGUAGCCGGCCUGAGAGGGUGACCGGCCACAUUGGGACUGAGAUACGGCCCAGACUCCUACGGGAGGCAGCAGUGGGGAAUAUUGCACAAUGGGCGGAAGCCUGAUGCAGCAACGCCGCGUGCGGGAUGACGGCCUUCGGGUUGUAAACCGCUUUCGCCUGUGACGAAGCGUGAGUGACGGUAAUGGGUAAAGAAGCACCGGCUAACUACGUG